UACGUAGGGUGCGAGCGUUGUCCGGAAUUAUUGGGCGUAAAGAGCUUGUAGGCGGUUUGUCGCGUCUGCUGUGAAAAUCCGGGGCUCAACCCCGGACUUGCAGUGGGUACGGGCAGACUAGAGUGUGGUAGGGGAGACUGGAAUUCCUGGUGUAGCGGUGGAAUGCGCAGAUAUCAGGAGGAACACCGAUGGCGAAGGCAGAUCUCCUGGGCCGUAACUGACGCGUGAGGAGCGAAGCGUGGGGAGCAACAGGAUUAGACUACC
rnacentral:rRNA from 1 species